rnacentral:lncRNA from 1 species
GAGUCGUACACGUCAUGGAGUCUGGUCAGUUUUCGAUUAUUGUGCGUAGAUUAGACUGGUGGAAAGUUAUUUCCAUUCGGGGCAUGAUCCAAUCAUGGAGAUAUUCUUCCUUAUCUUGACUUUCUUGAAUUGAAGGAAACACGGGAUCAGUUAACGAAAACUACUGUACAUCAUAGUCGGAGGUUGGCUCGAGCCAAUCUGAGAGAACGACGGUUCUGGCCCGAGGCGAAGCCAAUAUACUAGCAUCGGGGGCCAUGGCCCAUGACGGCCCAAGCCCGAAGCCCAUAAUUACAUUAAAUUUUUUGCUGGCCCCUGCCCCCAAUGGUGAGACCCUCCUCCAC